CCUACGGGUGGCUGCAGUGAGGAAUAUUGGACAAUGGAUGGAAAUCUGAUCCAGCCAUGCCGCGUGCAGGAAGACGGCCCUAUGGGUUGUAAACUGCUUUUGUAUGGGAGCAAUAAGGUCUAUGCGUAGACUGAUGAGAGUACCAUACGAAUAAGCAUCGGCUAACUCCGUGCCAGCAGCCGCGGUAAUACGGGGGAUGCAAGCGUUAUCCGGAUUAAAGGGGUUGAAGGCGUUCGGAGGCGGCAGCAUAGAAAUAUUUCAGCUUAACUGAAAGUGUGCCGUUGAUACUGUCAGGCUUGAAUAUGGUUGCUGUGGGUGGAAUGUGUGGUGUAGCGGUGAAAUGCUUAGAUAUCACACAGAAUAUCGAUUGCGAAGGCAGCUCACAAAGCCAUUAUUGACGCUGAUGCACGAAAGUGUGGGGAUCAAACAGGAUUAGAUACCCCUGUAGUC
rnacentral:rRNA from 1 species